CCUCCUCCUCCCACUUCCUCCGCACAAUGCGAGCAGCAGAGCGGGGCAGCAGCACCGUGCCGGCCCCCCCCGGCCGCCCCCUCCCCGGCUCGGCCCCGUAAGAUGCUCCGGAGGAGGCGGCUCCGCCAGGAAGGCCAGCUGACCUCUCCCAUCGCACACCUCGGUGGAGUAUAAAUGGCCUCAAAACGUCAUUCAGAGCCUCUGGAUGCCAUCCUUUUUCACAAGCUACCUCGGCUGGAGGCCGAACCCGACCCGGGCAUCCCCUCCAUUCCCUGCAAACCCAACCCCGUCCCCACAGCCGGCCCCCAAACCCACCUCGGCUACAAGGGCUCCUACUUCUCCUGCCCACAGGCAGAAGGACAACUCCUACACUGCCUGCUCCGUCAGCCCCACAGCCCCACGGGCAGACCGGGUGCUGAGCAGGGCAAAAAUCACCCCAUGUGGGACCCCCUGGUGGCACAGGACAAGUGGCCCAGCCAGCAGGGCCACCCCUUCCCCCUGAAGAAGCCACCAGCCGUCCCCAAGCCCGUGUAUGCAGCCCCACUUUGCUUCUCACCGCUGAGCUCCCAGGGGGGUGAUGCCCUGCAAAGGGGGCCGGGGGCCGUGUCUGCUGUGCCCCCACCCUCCCCUGUCACCCUCUCCCACUAUUACACUGCCUUUGAGAAGUACCGUGGUCCCCCAGCUGUGCAUGACCAGGGGAAGCCACUCGAAAUUCCCACCUGCAUCCCAGACCCCUGGAUGAAGGCACACCGGGAGCAUCCCUCUGCUUGCUACCCACAGCCCCCCUACCCGCAGCCUCCGGGCUCCUUUUCUUACAAAGCUUUCGGCUUCAUGGUGAAUGGGAAAUCUCCCCUUUUUCCCAGCACUUACCUUAAGCCCCCAACCCCCCAGAGCCACUAUCCCAGCCCCUUGGAUUGCUUUGCGUCGAGGCCGGCCGCUCCGGGCACGCUGCCCUCUCUGAAAGCAAUGGGACCACCAAGGGAUCUUGAGCCUCCACCCCUGCCUCCAGCUGGGUACCUGCAUCCAAAUCCUGGAUUCGCCUUCAGCCCCAUGGAUGCUGUGUUGUUUACGGAGGAUCACAGCGAUGGGCGAAAGGCACCGCUGGAAGCCCAUGGAGGGAGGGUGGUGACGAGGCACAGCAGCGCCUUCCACCCCAUCCACACCCCACAGAAGACACCUGAUGGGCUGUUGGGGCCGUUUCCCAAAGGAGAGGCUGGCUACAGUCUGGAUAAGGCUUUGACGGCCAACCUCGUCCCCUGCCAGCAGCAGGUGGUCAAAGCCGGGGUCGGGGAUGCCACCAAGGAGCACUUCAUCCCUUGUAGGGCCAUCUGUCCCCAGGAGAGGCUGAGGGACCUACAGAGUGGUGAUGUGUCCCCCCCUUCCCCACCGAUGCCGGUGAUCAACAAGGUCUUCAGCCUGGCGCCUUACCGGGAGUACCUGGAGGGGACCGAAGGCUCCACUGAUGUCCCCAAGGAGCAUCCACAAGGGGACGCAGCCACACCACAAAACUCAAGCAGCGGUCAGGAGCCUGCUGGCGUCAAGGCGACAUCCAGCUCGCUGCGUGGUGAAGGGGAGAGUUGUCACCAAAAGAUCCCCGAAGUGUCCCCAGAGCCAGCAGCAGGAAGUCACCCAGGGCUUCAGCACAGCGGUGGGGAACCAAUCCCUGCUGAUGUGGCACUGGACUUGAGCUUGAAGAAGAGCUCGGUGACAACGGGGAGCACCGGCACAGAGGGGAUGUUGGACCCAGGGGAGAAAGAGGGGCCACUGGGGCAGGUGGAGGUGGCUGAGGACACCAAGGUGCCACUGCAGCUGGCGGAGGCGGGUGGGGACACCAAAGCCCAGGUGCCACCCAACCGAGUGGAGGUGGGUGAGGACACCAAAGCCCAGGUGCCAGCGCAGCUGGUGGAGGUCAGCUCUAAGGACAGGAGCCACUUCCAGAGCUCAGCUGCCUUCAUGUUCAAGAAAUACAAGAUCCUCAAGUCCUGGGGACCCCCCGGUGCCCCCCAGCCCAGCUCUCCGCCGCACGCGUGGCAGGGGUCCCCCAGCACCUCUGUCCCACAGGAGCCUUGCCACAACACGAAGCCUGUGGACACGUCACCAGCCCUGCCCCAACCCCCCUUGCCCGCCAGCCCCUGCCACAUCCCAGCCCAGCCAUGCGUAGUCAACCAGGGUUUCUCUGCCUUGCACAUGUCCCUGUGCAGCAUCAUCUCAUGCUCGGUGUCCGCGUCCUCCCCGGAGCUGCUGCGGGACUGGCUGAGGAGGACAGAGCCGGGAGACACCCUGGCAGAGACACCCAGAUCCCUUCCUAAAACCAAAAACGGCUCCAAACUCCCUGAGCCUCAGAAGCCCCCGAAAGGCAAGGAGAUCUGGCUGGCAUUCCGCAAUGCAGCCGCUCUCCUCAGCAAGCUCCUGGCUCAGCUGGAGGCUUUCGCCUUCACCCGCAAGUGUCCCUUUCCCUACGUGCUGCGGGCAGGUGCCAUCUUCAUCCCCAUCCACGUGGUGAAGGAGAAGCUCUUCCCCGAGCUCCCCGGGGCCUCUGUGGACCAGGUGCUGCAGAAGCACAAAGUGGAGCUGCGGCCCACCACGCUCUCUGAAGAGAAGCUUCUGAGGGAGCUGGAGCUCAAGGGCUGCACUUCACGCAUGCUGAAGCUCCUGGCUCUCAAACAGCUCCCUGAGAUCUACCCAGAUCUGCUGAACCUCCUGUGGCACCACUCCAUUCAGCAGCAGCUCGGUAGGUAGCAGGGUGAUCCCCAUCCCUUCCCCAUGGGGCUUGGAGAAGGAUAUCCCACUAAAACCCAAGGAUGCCCUACUGCAACCCGAGAGGUCCCCUUUAAAACCCAAGGAUUCCCCUUUAAAACCCAAGGAUUCCCCUUUAAAACCCAAGGAUUCCCUGUUAAAACCCAAGGAUUCCCUACUAAAACCCAAGGAUUUCCCAUUAAAACCCAAGGAUGCCCUACUGCAACCCAAGAGGUCCCCUUUAAAACCCAAGGAUUCCCCUUUAAAACCCAAGGAUUCCCUGUUAAAACCCAAGGAUUCCCUGUUAAAACCCAAGGAUUUCCAUUAAAACCCAAGGAUUCCCUACUAAAACCUAAGGAUUUCCCACUAAAACCCAAGGAUGCCCUACUGCAACCCGAGAGGUCUCCUUUAAAACCCAAGGAUUCCCUACUAAAACCCAAGGAUUUCCCAUUAAAACCCAAGGAUUCCCUACUAAAACCCAAGGAUUUCUCAUUAAAACCCAAGGAUUCCCUACUAAAACCCAAGGAUGUCCUACUGCAACCCGAGUUCCCCAUUAAAACCCAAGGAUUCCCUGUUAAAACCCAAGGAUUCCCUGUUAAAACCCAAGGAUUUCCAUUAAAACCCAAGGUUUCCCUACUAAAACCCAAGGAUUUCCCAUUAAAACCCAAGGAUUCCCUACUAAAACCCAAGGAUUUCUCAUUAAAACCCAAGGAUUCCCUACUAAAACCCAAGGAUUUCUCAUUAAAACCCAAGGUUUCCCUACUAAAACCCAAGGAUUUCCCAUUAAAACCCGAGGUUUCUUCACCAAAACCCAAGUAUUUCUCUUUAAAACCCAAGGGUUCCCCACUAAAACCCAAGGGUUCCCCAGUUAAAACCACAAACACCCUCACUAAAACCUAAGGAUGCCCCCACCAAAAAUCAAGGAUUCCUUACUACAAGGAUUCCGCCAUCAAAACCUCAGGGAUUCCUUACUAAACCCCCAAAGAUGCCCCUACUGAUACCCAAGGACCCACCACCAAAAGCCAAAGAUGUCCCCAGCGAAACCUCAAGGAUUCCACUCCUAAAUCCCAAGGAUGCUCCUGCUAAACCCAAGGAUGCCCCAGCAAAAUCAUCCUGCUUGAGGACUCGGGUGUGACAAAGUUCCCUUCCCCAUUGCUCCCCAUUCACUUUCCAAGUGCUCGACCACCAUGUUUCCCCAAACUGGCCUCCAUGUGGCACAGACCCUAUAAAACACAGCCCCAAAUCCUCUCCUGAGAAACCCCAACGCUUCUCCCACCAAAACCCAGCUCCUUCCUGCAGGCAGGCUCUCCGCAGUGGGACGGUCCCACCCUGCCCUCGUGUCCCAGUUGCCUCAACUGGAGGCAUCACCACCGACUUUGUGUCUUGCAGGGUCGAGGUCGGAGGUCGGCCA